ACGGAAGGCAGCAGUGGGGAAUAUUGCACAAUGGGCGCAAGCCUGAUGCAGCGAUGCCGCGUGAGGGAAGAAGGUUUUCGGAUUGUAAACCUCUGUCAACAGGGACGAUAAUGACUGUACCUGUGAAGGAAGCUCCGGCUAACUACGUGCCAGCAGCCGCGGUAAUACGUAGGGAGCAAGCGUUAUCCGGAAUUACUGGGUGUAAAGGGAGUGUAGGCGGGACUGUAAGUCAGAUGUGAAAUAUGCCGGCUCAACUGGCCGACUGCAUUUUACACUGCGGUUCUUGAGUGAAGUAGAGUUAAGCGGAAUUCCUAGUGUAGCGGUGAAAUGCGUAUAUAUUAGGAGGAACAUCAGUGGCGAAGGCGGCUUACUGGGCUUUAACUGUCGCUGAGGCUCUAAAGCGUGGGGAGCAAACAGGAUUAGAUACCCUGGUA
rnacentral:rRNA from 1 species